GAUAAACGCUGGCGGCGUGCCUAAUACAUGCAAGUCGAGCGAACAGACGAGGAGCUUGCUCCUCUGACGUUAGCGGCGGACGGGUGAGUAACACGUGGAUAACCUACCUAUAAUACUGGGAUAACUUCGGGAAACCGGAGCUAAUACCGGAUAAUAUAUUGAACCGCAUGGUUCAAUAGUGAAAGACGGUUUUGCUGUCACUUAUAGAUGGAUCCGCGCCGCAUUAGCUAGUUGGUAAGGUAACGGCUUACCAAGGCAACGAUGCGUAGCCGACCUGAGAGGGUGAUCGGCCACACUGGAACUGAGACACGGUCCAGACUCCUACGGGAGGCAGCAGUAGGGAAUCUUCCGCAAUGGGCGAAAGCUUGACGGAGCAACGCCGCGUGAGUGAUGAAGGUCUUCGGAUCGUAAAACUCUGUUAUUAGGGAAGAACAAAUGUGUAAGUAACUAUGCACGUCUUGACGGUACCUAAUCAGAAAGCCACGGCUAACUACGUG
rnacentral:rRNA from 1 species